UACGGGAGGCAGCGGUGGGGAAUAUUGCACAAUGGGCGAAAGCCUGAUGCAGCUAUGCCGCGUGUAUGAAGAAGGCCUUAGGGUUGUAAAGUACUUUCAUCGGGGAGGAAAAAACAAAACUAAUAAUUUUAUUUCUUGACGUUACCCGAAAAAGAAGCACCGGCUAACUCCGUGCCAGCAGCCGCGGUAAUACGGAGGGUGCUAGCGUUAAUCAGAAUUACUGGGCGUAAAGAGCACGUAGGUGGUUUUUUUAAAGUCAGAUGUGAAAUCCCUGGGCUUAACCUGGAACUGCAUUUUGAAACUGAAAUACUAGAGUAUCGUAGAGGGAGGUAGAAUUCUAGGUGUAGCGGUGAAAUGCGUAGAUAUCUGGAGGAAUACCUGUGGCGAAAGCGGCCUCCUAAACGAAUACUGACACUGAGGGUGCGAAAGCGUGGGGAGCAAACAGGGAUUAGAUACC
rnacentral:rRNA from 1 species